AGAGUUUGAUCCUGGCUCAGGACGAACGCUGGCGGCGUGCCUAACACAUGCAAGUCGAACGGAGAAAUUCAGCAAUGGAUUUCUUAGUGGCGAACGGGUGAGUAACGCGUAGACAACCUGCCUCUAAGAUGGGGACAACACCGCGAAAGUGGUGCUAAUACCGAAUGUGCUGACUUUGGCGCAUGCCAAAGACAACAAAGGUGGCCUCUUUACAAUGCUACCGCUUAGAGAUGGGUCUGCGUCUGAUUAGCUAGUUGGUGAGGUAACGGCUCACCAAGGCGACGAUCAGUAGCCGGUCUGAGAGGAUGAACGGCCACACUGGGACUGAGACACGGCCCAGACUCCUACGGGAGGCAGCAGUGGGGAAUCUUCCGCAAUGGACGAAAGUCUGACGGAGCAACGCCGCGUGAGUGAAGAAGGUUUUCGGAUUGUAAAGCUCUGUCUUUUGGGACGGACGUGAGGUGUGUGAAUAAUGCAUCUCAAUGACGGUACCGGAGGAGGAAGCCACGGCUAACUACGUGCCAGCAGCCGCGGUAAUACGUAGGUGGCAAGCGUUGUCCGGAAUUAUUGGGCGUAAAGCGCGCGCAGGCGGGAUGGUAAGUCUGCUGUCUAAGUGCGGGGCUCAACCCCGUAUCGGCAGUGGAAACUGUCAUUCUUGAGUGCAGGAGAGGAAAGUGGAAUUCCUAGUGUAGCGGUGAAAUGCGUAGAUAUUAGGAGGAACACCAGUGGCGAAGGCGACUUUCUGGACUGUGUCUGACGCUGAGGCGCGAAAGCCAGGGGAGUGAACGGGAUUAGAUACCC
rnacentral:rRNA from 1 species